GAUGAAGAACGCAGCGAAAUGCGAUAAGUAGUGUGAAUUGCAGAAUUCAGUGAAUCAUCGAAUCUUUGAACGCACAUUGCGCCCCUUGGUAUUCCAUGGGGCAUGCCUGUUCGAGCGUCAUUUGUACCUUCAAGCUCUGCUUGGUGUUGGGUGUUUGUCUCGCCUCUGCGUGUAGACUCGCCUCAAAGCAAUUGGCAGCCGGCGUAUUGAUUUCGGAGCGCAGUACAUCUCGCGCUUUGCACUCAUAACGACGACGUCCAAAAGUACAUUUUUACACUCUUGACCUCGGAUCAGGUAGGGAUACCCGCUGAACUUAAGCAUAUCAAUAAGCGGAGGA
rnacentral:misc_RNA from 1 species